GUGAGGAAUAUUGGUCAAUGGACGAGAGUCUGAACCAGCCAAGUCGCGUGAAGGAAGACGGUUCUACGAAUUGUAAACUUCUUUUGUGCAGGAAUAAAGUGGGUUACGUGUAACCUUUUGUAUGUACUGUACGAAUAAGGAUCGGCUAACUCCGUGCCAGCAGCCGCGGUAAUACGGAGGAUCUGAGCGUUAUCCGGAUUUAUUGGGUUUAAAGGGUGCGUAGGUGGAUUGAUAAGUCAGCGGUGAAAGUUUGCAGCUUAACUGUAAAAUUGCCGUUGAAACUGUCGGUCUUGAGUGCAAAUGAGGUAGGCGGAAUGUGUUGUGUAGCGGUGAAAUGCUUAGAUAUAACACAGAACUCCGAUUGCGAAGGCAGCUUACUGGGAUGCAACUGACACUGAUGCACGAAAGCGUGGGUAUCAAACAGGAUUAGAAACCCGUGUAGUCC
rnacentral:rRNA from 1 species